ensembl:lncRNA
UAGAGAAAAGCAACAAUACAGAGUGUUUCUCUGCUCCAAGAAAUCUGAGGGCCUUUCACAAGAAGGAAGGUCACAGCAGGCGCUUUUCUCAAACGCAUUACCAAUCAGUUUUUUACAAGAAGUGUAGCUCAUACAAUGAGAUGGACUUACACACUUGCUUUACUUCUCUCGGGGAUAACUUUGUCGGAGAUGAAAUGCCGGGUUGCUAGCGAAGCUCCGCAUGCUAUCCAGACCACCAACAGGUCCUGCAUGCCACAGCCACUCUAUCACGUGAUGCAUACUGCUCCGACGUGCUAACGUUCUGAGGUGAGUUACGGCGUGUUGCAAGUUUUGUG